AUACUUACCUGGCAGGGGCGAUACCAUGAUCACGAAAGUGGUUUCCCCAGGGUGAGGCUCACCCAUUGCACUCUGGGCGUGCUGACCCCUGCGAUUUCCCCAAAUGUGGGAAACUCGACUGCGUAAUUUGUGGUAGUGGGGCUUUAAAAAAAAAAAAAGAAAUUGCUCCU